GAUAAACCUACCUGUGAGUGAUUCCAGAUGAAACCAGGACAAAAAAAGAACCACAUUUGUGGGAUUUUCUGGAAAUUGUAUCCAAUGGUCCUUUUUGGAGGAAGGAUUAUUGACAUAUUUUACAUUUUUUACAUUUUGUAUCUAAAGCAUAAUAAAAAAAUAAAGUAUUUAUCAAAUGUGGCAUAUUUCUGACAUUUUGACCUUACCCAGUCCUCCUGGGAGACUCCAUAGUGUUCAAUCUGUAGGUGCUCCAAAGCAACAAUGGGUGUGUUUUGUAAUAUGAGUCGUAUCUACCCGGAUAAACCCCAUAUGGGAUGGGACACCAUGUAUAGUGUACGCUAGAGAUUCAACUCUGUGUCCUUGCCUACGUAGAGAAUAGACUCACCUGGUUAUGGAGCGAUCAGACUGUUUAGUUCCUGUUACCUGGUUCUGUGUGUCAAUGGAGAGGUUCCUGUCACCUGGAGCCCUGGAAAUGUUUCACAAUAAGAGUUCUGAUCUCACACACACACACUGAGCAGUAUGGAAUCAACAGAACCUUUUUGUUAAUCUAUAAACCACAUUUCUAAAACUACUAUUUUGAAACAGAACUUCCAAGAACUGGAGCAUAUAUGACGGGGACAUUUUAUUUUGAAAAAGCCUCAAAGACCUCUGAGAGAUGUAGUCAGUGAACUGCGCACUGUCUUCCCUUUACUAUACUUAGGUUUUUCUGUCUGGGCUGACACGGUCUCUACUACUGGUAACCAUGGAUAAGGUCACACCACUACAUAGUGCAGUAUUGUUGUAGUAAAUGCUAUUUUUAAAGUAGAACGUCAGUAUUCUCUCCUUCAGUCUACCUGUGUAUAUUCUAUGGUUAUAUAUCUGGAAGAAGUACGUUAUUUUAUCCUCCAUCUGUCCAUCCGUCCGUCUGUCUAUACCUGUACAAUGAUCUCACAGUAAAGCGUUGUUUUAUUUCACUACCUUUUUCUGACUUAACUGGCCAAUCAGAGUUGGUUGUGUUAUUUAUGGUGUUGCCCAAUAACUCCCCUUUUUUGACAAUCAGAUGUUACAGCAAUGCUCUGGAAUGUUCUAGAGUCCUUCUCAAAACCUCCUCUGGAACAUUCUAGAAUCCUUCUCAGAACCUCUGGAACGUUCUAGAAUCCUUCUCAGAACCUCUUCUGGAACGUUCUAGAAUCCUUCUCAGAACCUCUUCUGGAACGUUCUAGAAUCCUUCUCAGAACCUCUUCUGGAACGUUAUUUGUUGGGUGUUUUGAGUGGGAGGGACUGGCUACAAAAUAACAUGUCUGUGUAAUCUCAACGGAUGUCAUCUCAAUGGCACCCUAUUCCCUAUACAGUAACACUACUUUUGACCAGAGCCGUAUGCUCACUGAGUGUGUGAUGGGAAAGAGAAAUCGAGUAUUAUUAGUAUAUUAGUAUAGUAUUAUAACAACUAUUUUGAUAAAAACAUAAAUGUUUUAUUUUUGUACCGACACAGAGAGAGAGUCACCGUAUUACUGACCUGAAACAAACAGCUCGACGAUGACUCAAUACAAUAUAUUCUGGAUCGAGGUGACAAACGAUCUUUGUGUGUGUGUGUGUGUGUGUGUGUAGAUAAAUAGCCAAGCGUGAGUUGAACUAGGCACUUGUUCACUCCCCUCAGGAUUCUGAAAGUAUUGGUCUGAACUGGUUGGAAGUAGUUUCCAAUGAGAGGAGGGAAAAAAUAUCUGAUACGGUCCAGUGUUUGACAACAGCAGGAAGUCGAUUUCUAUAUUUAUUAUGCCUCAAGUGAACCGAGUCACCGGGAACCUCCCGCUGCCCUACAGAGGCUGUGUGUAGAAUGGCAACCGGUUCUGUUAAGAGCACACAUAUAGCUUUAGGGUGAAUGACAGAGAGAUCCCCCACCUCCCCUGAGGAACAACCAUAUUGAGGUUAUGUACAGAGAGAGAUCCCCCACCUCCCCUGAGGAACAACCAUAUUGAGGUUAUGUACAGAGAGAGAUCCCCC
ensembl:lncRNA